rnacentral:rRNA from 1 species
AUUGAACGCUGGCGGCAAGCCUAACACAUGCAAGUCGAACGAGUGGCGGACGGGUGAGUAAUGUCUGGGAAACUGCCUGAUGGAGGGGGAUAAAUCCUGGAAACGGUAGCUAAACCCGCAUACCAUCGGAUGUGCCCAGAUGGGAUUAGCUAGUAGGUGGGGUAAAGGCUAACCUCGGCGACGAUCACUAGCUGGUCUGAGAGGAUGACCAGCCACACUGGAACUGAGACACGGUCCAGACUCCUACGGGAGGCAGAAGUUGGGAAUAUUGCACAAUGGGCGCAAGCCUGAUGCAGCCAUGCCGCGUGUAUGAAGAAGGCCUUCGGGUUGUAAAGUACUUUCAGCGGGGAGGCGUUACCCGCAGAAGAAGCACCGGCUAACUCCGUGCCAGCAGCCGCGGUAAUAC